CCGAGCAACGCCGCGUGAGUGAAGAAGGUUUUCGGAUCGUAAAACUCUGUUGUUAGAGAAGAACAAGGAUGAGAGUAGAAUGUUCAUCCCUUGACGGUAUCUAACCAGAAAGCCACGGCUAACUACGUGCCAGCAGCCGCGGUAAUACGUAGGUGGCAAGCGUUGUCCGGAUUUAUUGGGCGUAAAGCGAGCGCAGGCGGUUUCUUAAGUCUGAUGUGAAAGCCCCCGGCUCAACCGGGGAGGGUCAUUGGAAACUGGGAAACUUGAGUGCAGAAGAGGAGAGUGGAAUUCCAUGUGUAGCGGUGAAAUGCGUAGAUA
rnacentral:rRNA from 1 species